rnacentral:sRNA from 2 species
AUCUUAUAAGCGCUGAAUUCAGUUGAAACGGGGGAACCAAUUUUCAGGGGUGAAUCCAUCACGUUAUGGUAGGGUUAAUCUUCGACCCGAAUCCGUCAGCUAACCUCGUAAGCGUGGAAGAAAUAAUCC